rnacentral:rRNA from 1 species
UACAGAGGGUGCGAGCGUUGUUCGGAAUUAUUGGGCGUAAAGGGCGCGUAGGCGGUGCGGGUAAGUCACCUGUGAAAUCUCCUGGCUCAACUGGGAGCUGCAGGCGAAACUGCCGUGCUGGAGUGUGGGAGAGGUGCGUGGAAUUCCUGGUGUAGCGGUGAAAUGCGUAGAUAUCAGGAGGAACACCGGUGGCGAAGGCGGGUCUCUGGGC